UACGUAGGGGGCAAGCGUUGUCCGGAUUUAUUGGGCGUAAAGAGCGUGUAGGCGGCCAUGUAGGUCCGUUGUGAAAACUCGAGGCUCAACCUCGAGACGCCGAUGGAAACCAUGUGGCUAGAGUCCGGAAGAGGAGAGUGGAAUUCCUGGUGUAGCGGUGAAAUGCGCAGAUAUCAGGAGGAACACCGGUGGCGAAGGCGGGUCUCUGGGCCGAUAUUGACGCUGAGACGCGAAAGCGUGGGGAGCGAACAGG
rnacentral:rRNA from 1 species